rnacentral:rRNA from 1 species
GAUGAACGCUGGCGGCGUGCCUAAUACAUGCAAGUCGAGCGAACAGACGAGGAUCUUGCUCCUCUGACGUUAGCGGCGGACGGGUGAGUAACACGUGGAUAACCUACCUAUAAUUCUGGGAUAACUUCGGGAAACCGGUGCUAAUACCGGAUAAUAUAUUGUACCGCAUGGUUCAAUAGUGAAAGACGGUUUUGCUGUCUCUUAUAGAUGGUUCCGCGCUGCAUUAGCUGGUUGUUAAGGUAACGGCUUACCAAGGCGACGAUGCAUAGCCGAACUGAGAGGGUGAACGGCCAAAAGGGAAGGGAGACACGGACCAGAAUACUACGGGAGGCAGCAGUAGGGAAGGUUCCGCAAUGGGGGAAAGGAUGACGGAGCAACGCCGAGUGAGAGAUGAAGGUCUUAGGAUCGUAAAACUCUGUUAUUAGGGAAGAACAAAUGUGUAAGUAAAUAUGCAGGUAUUGACGGUACCUAAUCAGAAAGCAACGGCUAACUACGUG